rnacentral:rRNA from 1 species
CUACGUGCCAGCAGCCGCGGUAAUACGUAGGUGGCAAGCGUUGUCCGGAAUUAUUGGGCGUAAAGCGCGCGCAGGCGGAUCAGUUAGUCUGUCUUAAAAGUUCGGGGCUUAACCCCGUGAUGGGAUGGAAACUGCUGAUCUAGAGUAUCGGAGAGGAAAGUGGAAUUCCUAGUGUAGCGGUGAAAUGCGUAGAUAUUAGGAAGAACACCAGUGGCGAAGGCGACUUUCUGGACGAAAACUGACGCUGAGGCGCGAAAGCCAGGGGAGCGAACGGGAUUAGAUACCCCGGUAGUCCUGGCCGUAAACGAUGGGUACUAGGUGUAGGAGGUAUCGACCCCUUCUGUGCCGGAGUUAACGCAAUAAGUACCCCGCCUGGGGAGUACGACCGCAAGGUUGAAACUCAAAGGAAUUGACGGGGGCCCGCACAAGCGGUGGAGUAUGUGGUUUAAUUCGACGCAACGCGAAGAACCUUACCAGGUCUUGACAUCCCUCUGACCGCUCUAGAGAUAGAGUUUUC